UACGGAGGGUGCAAGCAUUAAUCGGAUUUACUGGGCGUAAAGGGCGUCUAGGCGGGGGCGAAAGCCAGGUGUGAAAUUCCGGAGCUUAACUUCGGAGCUGCACUUGGAACUUUGCCUCUUGAGGGUAGGCGAGGAAAACGGAAUUCCACAAGUAGCGGUGGAAUGCGUAGAUAUGUGGAAGAACACCGGUGGCGAAGGCGGUUUUCCAGCUUAUUCCUGACGCUGAAGCGCGAAAGCAAGGGGAGCGAACAGGAUUAGAUACCCCCGUA
rnacentral:rRNA from 1 species